CUAAGACGACUGAUACUGGAAUGUUUAGCUUCUUUGGUGGAGAUAACACCACUAAUAAUAGUGGUUGGUAGUACUAACUGGCUAAUGGAUAUUCCAAGAGCAUAAUCACAGCUACCGUAUUAUGAAUAUGAUUUAGUGAACAUCGAAAUUGUAGAUAUGCAUGAGAAUUUAAUAAUUCAAACAACAUCAUAAAUAUUACAAUAUAUAGGACACUUUAAACAUUAUAAUUAUGAUAAUUGUCAUUUAUUAUUAACAUUAUUAAGAUAAUGGCUACAAAUUCUCUUCCUCCUCUUCUUCUACUUCCAUUAUUGUUUCUGAUACAUCCAUUUCUCUAGGUGUGAGAAUGUAAGACUGUGAAAGAUGGAGUCUCUGUGCUGUGGUUGAAGGAGGAGGUGGAGGAACAUACCUCUCACCAUCUUCUUUCCUAGUGCAAGUGUUUCUUAAGUGUUUAACAUGAACUCCAAAUGCUAGUACACUUAUUGGCACAAUAGGACCAAUGAGAUAGACCACUAUUGCUAUGUAAGAGCUAGAAUGUGACUCUACAUUGGAGUGAUUGCAGUUAUCAGUGAAAGCAUUGUUCAUUCCUAAUCUCUGACAGUUGAAGUAUGCCUCUGAAGUAGAAGUCAGCUUGUGUCUGUUAAUCCCUUGAUGUAUGGAGUAUAUCAACACAAGGAACUGGAAAGCAUUGGUCUUUUUAAUGAUCUUACUAACUUAUUACCAAGUAUGCCAUGAUACUAGAGACAAAGAAAGAAAAGGAGAGAU